UACGUAGGGGGCAAGCGUUGUCCGGAUUUACUGGGCGUAAAGCGCACGUAGGCGGAUCGUUAAGUCGGGGGUGAAAUCCUGGAGCUCAACUCCAGAACUGCCUUCGAUACUGGCGAUCUUGAGUCCGGAAGAGGUGAGUGGAACUCCUAGUGUAGAGGUGGAAUUCGUAGAUAUUCGCAGGAACACCAGUGGCGAAGGCGGCUCACUGGUCCGAUACUGACACUGAGGCGCGACAGCGUGGGGAGCAAACAGG
rnacentral:rRNA from 1 species